rnacentral:rRNA from 1 species
CACGUAGGGAGCAAGCGUUGUCCGGAUUUAUUGGGCGUAAAGAGCUCGUAGGCUGUUCGAUAAGUCGGGUGUGAAACCUCCAGGCUCAACCUGGAGACGCCACCCGAUACUGUCAUGACUAGAGUCCGGUAGGGGAGCGUGGAAUUCCUGGUGUAGCGGUGAAAUGCGCAGAUAUCAGGAAGAACACCAAUGGCGAAAGCAGCUUUCUGGGACGGUACUGACGCUGAGACGCGAAAGCGUGGGGAGCGAACAGG